UACGUAGGGGGCAAGCGUUGUCCGGAUUUAUUGGGCGUAAAGAGCGUGUAGGCGGCCAGAUAGGUCGGUUGUGAAAACUGGAGGCUCAACCUCCAGACGUCGAUCGAAACCAUCUGGCUAGAGUCCGGAAGAGGAGAAUGGAAUUCCUGGUGUAGCGGUGAAAUGCGCAGAUAUCAGGAAGAACACCCGUGGCGAAGGCGGUUCUCUGGGACGGUACUGACGCUGAGACGCGAAAGCGUGGGGAGCGAACAGG
rnacentral:rRNA from 1 species